CACGUAGUUAGCCGGUGCUUAUUCUUCCGGUACCGUCAUCCACGCCAGGUAUUAACCAGCGCGAUUUCUUUCCGGACAAAAGUGCUUUACAACCCGAAGGCCUUCUUCACACACGCGGCAUUGCUGGAUCAGGGUUGCCCCCAUUGUCCAAAAUUCCCCACUGCUGCCUCCCGUAGGAGUCUGGGCCGUGUCUCAGUCCCAGUGUGGCUGAUCGUCCUCUCAGACCAGCUACUGAUCGUCGCCUUGGUGGGCCUUUACCCCACCAACUAGCUAAUCAGACAUCGGCCGCUCCUGCUGCGUGAGGCCUUGCGGUCCCCCACUUUCACCCUCAGGUCGUAUGCGGUAUUAGCUAAUCUUUCGACUAGUUAUCCCCCACAACAGGGUACGUUCCGAUGUAUUACUCACCCGUUCGCCACUCGCCGCCAGACCGAAGUCCGCGCUGCCGUUCGACUUGCAUGUGUAAGGCAUGCCGCCAGCGUUCAAUCUGAGCCAGGAUCAAACUCU
rnacentral:rRNA from 1 species